rnacentral:rRNA from 1 species
CCUACGGGGGGCUGCAGUAGGGAAUCUUCCACAAUGGGCGAAAGCCUGAUGGAGCAACGCCGCGUGGGUGAAGAAGGUCUUCGGAUCGUAAAACCCUGUUGUUAGAGAAGAAAGUGCGUGAGAGUAACUGUUCACGUUUCGACGGUAUCUAACCAGAAAGCCACGGCUAACUACGUGCCAGCAGCCGCGGUAAUACGUAGGUGGCAAGCGUUAUCCGGAUUUAUUGGGCGUAAAGGGAACGCAGGCGGUCUUUUAAGUCUGAUGUGAAAGCCUUCGGCUUAACCGGAGUAGUGCAUUGGAAACUGGGAGACUGGAGUGCAGAAGAGGAGAGUGGAACUCCAUGUGUAGCGGUGAAAUGCGUAGAUAUAUGGAAGAACACCAGUGGCGAAAGCGGCUCUCUGGUCUGUAACUGACGCUGAGGUUCGAAAGCGUGGGUAGCAAACAGGAUUAGAUACCCGAGUAGUC